AGCUCCAUUAGCGUAUAUUAAAGUUGUUGCAGUUAAAAAGCUCGUAGUUGGAUUUCGGUGUGGGCCAGUCGGUCGGCCGCAAGGCCUGUUACUGACUGGUUCGCUCUUCCUCUCAAAGACUGCACGUGCCCUUCGCUGGGUGUGUGUAUUGGAUUUGGGACGUUUACUUUGAAAAAAUUAGAGUGUUCAAGGCAGGCUUUGAGGCUUGAAUACAUGAGCAUGGAAUAAUGGAAUAGGACCUCGGUCCCUAUUUCGUUGGUUUUACGGACCGAAGUAAUGAUUAAGAGGGACAAUUGGGGGCAUCCGUAUUUCGUAGUCAGAGGUGAAAUUCUUGGACCUACGAAAGACGAACAACUGCGAAAGCAUUUGCCAAGAGUGUUUUCAUUAAUCAAGAACGAAA
rnacentral:rRNA from 1 species